ensembl:lncRNA
AUGUACGAAUGGAUAGUUGACGGCAUAUCUUCGCUGUUUGCGCCUCACGCCGAGCUCAAGUCCCCCGCUUGUUCCAAGGGGGCCCGCGGCCCUCAGUUGUCGAGGGCGGCGGGUCCGGACGCUCGGCGGCAGGAGGAGACCCCCAGCAGGCCGGCUAAGCGGAACUACCAGAGUGUCCACUCACCUGACCUCAAACCUGACCACCGAGAGGUAAAAAGGCCCAGAAAAGAUGUAGUGGUCAGCUUUGUUAAGAAGACCUUCUCCGGAGUCGUAGGACUGCUGCGAUUGCAAAGCCCGUUUACCACACCUCCGGAGAGUCAAAGUGCCUGUACCAGAGACCAGGUUCCUGCAGAGGAGCUGCUGGGAGUUGAUGAAAUCCAGGGUAACGGCUUGAACAAGUGGAUAACUUAUGUGGAAAUGAAGAUGGAGAAACCCAGAGAAGUGAGGUACAAUGGUAAAGUGGGAGCACUGGUCAGGAAACCUAAUAGGACAGGAAUGUUUGUGGAGAGGACCAAAGGAAAGGACCACCGGCGGUCACUUCAGUUCCUACCCCAUCGUUCCACCCUGAAUGACACAACCCCAUGCAGUGUAGAUUCACCUGCUGUGCCCCCAUCAAACUGGAGCCAGAAACCCUGUCUGACUGUGGAGGCGGCUCUGAAAGAAACUGACAGAGAACGAUACAGACUCCUUGUGGAGAUGGUGUCGGAGAAAUACUCCAAGAACAAGCCUCUGCCCUUUGCACAGACACGACCGCCAAUUAUAAAGCCUCUUCUUUCUGAAAUGCAUAGACCAGCUUUCUUCAGUAGAACCCAUGAUGUUAUCGCCGGCAAGGCUGGUCCUUUGAGAGCAAAUGCAAGUGCAUCUGUGUGGAGAGGGGCCUCCUCAGCUGAAUUGUGUAAAAAUGGAAAAGAAAAUGAGAAAGUGGGCCCUCGAUCUGCAAAAGAAACGAAGAAUCAUGACCAGGGUGCUGUCUGCGUGCAGGCUGAAGACACGCUGGCCAGACACCAAGAGAGGUCAUCCAACACUGAAUUCUUGCUUUCUGCUGCAAAGAGCCAUGAAACUACUGCAUGGAAACAGCCUGUCGACGUGGACUUGUCUGCUGAAGUGGCAGCCCGGUUGAACCUAGUGGACUGUGCGCCUGUGACCCCAACCUGCCCUGCAAUCAAGACUCAACAGCCAGUCCAAGAGAGCUAUUCCAGCUCUGAUGAGUUUCCCAGGCUGACCCAGGAGAUGCAGCAGGAGGUAAGGCAGGCCCUAGUGCAGAAGGACCCAAACCUGGUGCUGAGCAGUGCUUUCAAGUUGAGAAUCACUCAGAGGGACCUGACCACCCUGAAGGAUGGAGGCUGGCUCAAUGAUGAGGUGAUCAACUUCUACAUGAACCUGCUGAUGUGCCGCAACGAGCAAGGCAGGGGUAGGAAGGUGUAUGCCUUCAACACGUUCUUCUUCCCGAAGCUGCAUGGAGGUGGCCACGCAGCAGUGCGCCGCUGGACCAAGGCAGUGGAUCUCUUCCAGUAUGAAAUAAUUGUGGUACCGCUGCACAUGGGAGUCCACUGGUCCCUCUCUGUGAUCGACUUCAGGGAAAAGUCUGUGAUGUAUUAUGAUUCCAUGGGCCAGAAACAUGACGACAUCUGCAAGCUUUUGCUACUUUAUUUGAAGGAAGAGCUUAAGAUCAAGAAUGGCAAAGACUUGGAUAUCUCCAAAUGGGUGACAGCCAGUUUCAGUGAGAUUCCUCAACAGAACAAUGGCAGUGAUUGCGGAGUCUUCGUCUGUAAAUAUGCUGACUACAUUUCCCAGGGCAGACCUCUCACUUUUACUCAGAGUCAUGUGCCUUAUUUCCGAAGGAGGAUGAUCUGGGAAAUCCUUAACCAACGGCUGCUAUAAGAGGAUGUAUCACCAUGGAAACGUAACCAGUAACAGUAUGACCAAAGCAAGGGACUGCCGAGUCAGCUGCUCACCCUUGCAUCCUCUCUAAAAUUGUACAUACUGAUCUCAACACCUGGAAAAUGAUAAGCUAUUUUUGCAUAUUUUUCCCUUUUCCCACUUGUAAAGUUGCUAUGGAACAAUAUGAAUGUGAAUGGAGGAGAGAAUAACACUGAACCAAUUGUAAAUGAGUGGUUUUGUAAAAUUACUUCUGGGUGAGGUUCUUAAACUUGAGAACUGCAUAUAUACAUAUAUAUUUUGGUUUACUUACAGCUGAUGCUUAUUUUUGGUGCCUCAGGCCAGAUUUAGUUAAUGUGCCUUGACUCUUCAAUAUACUUUUUGUGUGAAAUGUGUGUAGAUCUCCCCCCAACAUCAAUACGUACACACUUGUGACGUGAACAUUGUAUGGUGACAGUGUACUCACAAAGUGUUAUUUUUUUUCUCAUUGAUAAUUGAGCUGUAUGAAGCUUGUUGUGUAAGUACUUAAUUUUAUAGUUUAACUGAAUGUUCAUAGACCUGUUAUUGAACUGUUGGUUUGACUGGACUAGCAUGUCACAAAACACCUGAAAAUUUUGCUGGUUAUCUUGUUUUCCGUGUUUAGUAUCCUUUGGCGAUAAAUGUGUAGGUAAAUCAAGGUUUAAGUUAAUGCUUGCUCUUGUUUUGAAGAGGUAUUUUCGUAUUGCGGAGGUGCAGUUUCAUUCAUCCUCUGCGUGUUUGUGAAUUCAGGCAGCAGUUCAAUGUGAUGCUUUUCCAUAGGCUUCAUGGAAGUGUACAUGAACAUUACUGAAAUUAAUAAAAACAAAUGGAUGUCAUUGCA